CCCUACGGGGCGCCACAUGGAGAUCCCGCCGUUCUAUGUCGAGCAGAUCAAGGAACGAAAGGGAAUUUCGCUCUGCACUCACUGCGGCAGGUUUUUGAUACUUCUCUAAAUCCAUCCCCGCCCCCGGAUGUGGGCACGAAUGAACUCCCCUCUGGCCCCUGUAGGGGGCACGGAAUAAUAAAAAUCUUAUAUAUUGCCGGGAUGCCCGGCGCUGACCCUGGCAUAGGGAGGCCGUUACACGACGGCCCCCCUAUGGACCCCCCGCGUGCUCCGCAAGCGCCGGAGGGGCUCCGGGCGUAACGCGGGCGAAGCCUGCUCCGCGGGAAUUCGCCCUCACACAGACGCCCGAUUGGUUCGUCCGGCUUCGCCGGACGUUUUAAUGGCUGGGUGGUGUAGCAUCAGGCAAUGCUUGGGGAGUUGUAAACAGAGGGC
rnacentral:rRNA from 1 species